UAAUAAGACUGCGUCCCUCCCGCAGCUGCGUGCUCGGUCGAGGCGGACGACCUCCCAGAUAGAGGAGUACCGUUCUUCGGUCAAGGGUUUACGGUAGCUGCUCUCCCCUGCUAGAACCUCCAAGACUGGGACUGUUCAGCUUGGAAAAGAGACAACUAAGGGGGGGUAUGGUAGAAGUCUGUAAAAUCAUGAGUGAUGUCAAGAGAGUGAAUAGGGAAGUGUUCUUUACCCCUU
rnacentral:snRNA from 1 species